rnacentral:rRNA from 1 species
UACGGAGGGUGCAAGCGUUAUCCGGAUUCACUGGGUUUAAAGGGUGCGUAGGUGGAGUGGUAAGUCAGUGGUGAAACCUCCAAGCUUAACUUGGAAACUGCCGUUGAUACUAUCAUUCUUGAAUAUCGUGGAGGUAAGCGGAAUAUGUCAUGUAGCGGUGAAAUGCUUAGAUAUGACAUAGAACACCGAUUGCGAAGGCAGCUUGCUACACGAUCAUUGACACUGAGGCACGAAAGCGUGGGGAUCAAACAGG